AUUGAACGCUGGCGGCAUGCUUUACACAUGCAAGUCGAACGGCAGCGCGGGCUUCGGCCUGGCGGCGAGCGGCGAACGGGUGAGUAAUGCAUCGGAACGUGCCCAGUAGUGGGGGAUAGCCCGGCGAAAGCCGGAUUAAUACCGCAUACGACCUGAGGGUGAAAGCGGGGGACCGAAAGGCCUCGCGCUAUUGGAGCGGCCGAUGUCGGAUUAGCUAGUUGGUGGGGUAAAGGCUUACCAAGGCGACGAUCCGUAGCUGGUCUGAGAGGACGACCAGCCACACUGGGACUGAGACACGGCCCAGACUCCUACGGGAGGCAGCAGUGGAGAAUUUUGGACAAUGGGGGCAACCCUGAUCCAGCCAUGCCGCGUGCGGGAAGAAGGCCUUCGGGUUGUAAACCGCUUUUGUUCGGGAAGAAAUCCUCUGGGCUAAUACCCCGGGGGGAUGACGGUACCGGAAGAAUAAGCACCGGCUAACUACGUG
rnacentral:rRNA from 1 species